rnacentral:lncRNA from 1 species
AAACAUUGUAUUAUGAAAAAAUUUCAGUUCCAUAAAAUAUUAAUUAUUUUUUUUAGUUGUUUUAAAAAAAUAAAGCAAAAAAACAAAAAAAAAAUUUGGUCAGUCUUUUACUCCAGUCUAGGCGUCCGGACUGGAUCCGCUGCGUAUAUAUAUAUAUAUAUAUAUAUAUUAGGGGAUAACAUGGUUAUGGCAAAUGCAUUUGAUUAAUUACAACAUUGUCAUUUAACAAUUUUAUUAAUGGUAAAGACUGGUAAUUUAGUUAUUUCACCAUUUUAUUUAUCAACGCUAAGUUGUUUUGGGAUCCCCAUGUGUCUGUAUAUUUACACUCCGUAUGUUCAUAUAGUGUACGUAAACCAUUAGUUAACAUUUCAUGGCAUGAUAAACCCACGUUCCUAAACUAGAGAUUCAUUUUCAUUUUUUUUACAGUUGAUGAGAGCAUAAUACUCAUUUAUUUUGAUUCCAUUAUAAUUAGUUUUAUUGCAUGUUUCAUGCGUAUAUAAGUUUAUUAAGGUGUUUAAUGAUUUCAGGAUGAAUUGGAGCUGAAAUGAGGAAAAAGAGAAAAUUGCAGGGUUUUUAGCAUUAAGUUGGAUGCAUGGUCUAGGCUUGGGACUUGAAUUUUAUUGUAGAGCUCUUCUUUAGCUUUCCGGAACAUUUUGAACCGUCCCAAUCGGAGUUCAUAUGAAAAAGUUAUGAUCUUUUUACUAAACGGACGUUGAACCUCAAUGUUUGGAAUGUGCAAUUUACACGGCAGUCACUUGGAGUCUGAUUUCGACCUUGAUACAACCAGAAUAUGUCAAUUCUCAAAGCAUGAAAGUUGUAGAUCUCGUCGAUAUCUUCGUUUUGAUAGGUAGCAGGCCCCGUAACUCCUCCAGGAUCAAAAGUUAUGAUUAUUUUACCAAAGGACAUCGCAACAGGAAAUGGAAAUUCGCCCCAGCGAAUUUGAGCGGGAAAAUUGGGAAAUCUUGGAUGUUUGGAAAGUUUCUAAAUGCAGAUUUUGGCAGACUUCUACAUGGAAUUGGAUUGAUAUUUCUAUUAGAAUUAGGAUAUCUUUAGACUAAGAUUUAUUUCCAAAAUGGAUUCUAUUUCUUUAUGGAAACUAGUUAUGAUUUGUAAUUCCUUUUAGGAUUUGGAUUUCUACUUCCUAUAGGAUUUAGGACUUUGUCUAGCACUAUAAAUAGAGGAUGCUAGUCAGGGUUUUAUUCAUUCAAUCAUCUACUACAUUCUCUCAUCUACAACAUUGGAGGAUUGAAGACAUGAGCUAAGUUCUUUUUAUUCAGUUCUAAGGGAUGUUGAACCUUAUUUAUAAUUAAUGGUUAAUUGAGUAUUCAUUAUUUAUUCCUUCUCACAUGAAAUUCAUUCUUGAUAAUCUGAUUUAAUUUCUGAAUGCUAUUUGGCUUAACUGAUUUGAUUUCUGCAGGAUUGAGUUGGUUAACAAAUAUCAUAUGCUAGAUCAAGGAAUAAUAUUACGUGUAAUUGAUAUUGUUUCUAAUCACAAGUAGUAAUUAGUAAUACCUGAUUGUGGACAAGCUUUUGAGUAUUGCUAUGAUUAUCAGAAGACAAGUUAAACAAUCCGAGCUUAUGUGUUUGUUGCUUGGAAUAGUCUAAUUCCCUAGUUCUUAAUGCUGCUAUUAUAUUAAAUCUAGAGAGCUUAUUCUAGGUUAUAUAAUUGUUAGAAUCUUGUGAAGAGCUUGUUUCAUUGAGUGACAAUCUAAGGGGAGUUUCGGGUAGCAGAGCUUGUUGUUACCUAGGGCUAUUAGUUUCAUUGAAGGGUAAAUAAUGUUACACUUGAUUAAUCUAUUAUUGUAAAAAGGUGAUACUGAACUGAAGAACUGAAGCUUUUUAUUCAUUGUUUAUUCUUAUUAGUUUAUUCUUGUUAAUUUAAUUAAUUAAUUCAAAAUCCCCUUUUCAUUAGAAAUCAUAGGAUAAAUAUAAAACAAAUCACUCUCUGUGGGAUCGAUCCUUGCUUACUACUGUGCUAAUUGUUUAAAUUUGUAAAGUGAAAGUGAGGUUAAUUUAGGAGUGUAAACGACAGCUCCCAAAUUUUGGCGCCGUUGUCGGGGAGUGAUAUUUGUUUUGUUUAUUCUUUGUUUUCAUUUAUUUUUAUUAUUUUCUUUUUGUUUUUGUUUUAUGACUCAAUUCUCUAACUUUAUUGACUUAAAUUUUGAUCAAGAGAUAGAGAAAACUGCAAAUAAAAAAGCUCUUGUUCCAUCAUUUGAAGUGGAAGAGAUGGCGGUGCCACAAAAUAACAGAACUUUGAAAAAACUGGCUAUUCUUGAUCUGACUCAACCAUCUUUUAGUAUUGAGUAUCCUACUUUAGAUGUUGCUUAUGAACUUAACUCUAAACUAAUUCAUCUUUUGCCUACUUUUCGUGGUCUUACAGGUGAAAAUCCAUAUAAGCAUCUAGAGGAGUUCCAUGUAGUGUGUUCCACGAUGAAAGCACAAGGAGUGGCAGAGGAACAGAUCAAGCUUAGACUUUUUCCAUUCUCGUUAGCAGAUUUGGCUAAAGACUGGUUAUACUAUCUACCUUCAGGAUUAAUACGAUCAUGGACUGAUAUGCAAAGGUUAUUCUUGGAGAGGUAUUUUCCUGCAUCAAGAGUUACCGAUAUAAGAAAGAAGAUAUGUGGAAUCAGGCAGUUCAAUGGAGAGAAUCUCUAUGAGUAUUGGGAAAGGUUCAAGAAAUUGUGUUCCAGCUGUCCACCUCAUGGAAUUGAUGAACAUUACUUGAUCUAGUACUUCUAUGAGGGGUUGCUACCAAUGGAAAGAAGCAUGAUUGAUGCAGCAAGUGGAGGAGCACUGGUAGACAAGACUCCAGAAGCGGCAAAGAACUUAAUUGCAAACAUGGCAGCUAACUCACAGCAGUAUGGAACUAAGAUGGAUCACACACCACAAAGGGUAAAUGGGGUAAGCACGAGAGACUUAGAGCAACAGAUUUCUGAAUUAACGGCUAUAGUUCGACAAAUGGCUACAAGGAAUAUGCAAGGUUUUCAGCAAGCUCAACCUCAGUACCACACAGAAAACCAAGAAGUACCUAUCAAUUCUAAGACAUCUAUAGAGGAUAUGUUCAAGGCAUUCAUGAUCCAAACACAACAGUUCAUGAGUCAGACAAGAACUUCUAUUCAAGAUUUGAGGGACCAAGUUGGUUAGCUUGCAACAACAGUAGGAAGGUCACUUUCUCAAACUGUUGAAAAUGUAAGUGUCAUAACAUUGAGAUGUGGUGCAGAGGAUCAGCAGCAAGGAAAGUUAAUACAAAGCAAGUCCGAUAAUAGUGAAACAAGAAGCAGUGAUGUACUCAAACAUAAAUUUCCACCUCUUUCAGCUUAUAAACCGAAACUACCUUUUCCCCAAGUUUUAACAAGGAAUUGGAAAGUUGGAAAGAAUUCAACGUGGUAUAGAGAGUCUAAUGAAAAAUUCCUAGAAGAAAUGGCGAAUAGGGAACAAGAACUUAAAGAUGAUGAGAAGUUCACUAGUGGAAACCAUUUGGAAGUGCUCGAGACUACUGCUGAAUUUGAAGAAGAAAUCAGGUAUUCAAAGUCUGAAAAGGAUGAACAAGAGGUAGAGAUGGAAGAAUUAAUAAUUCCUGCAGAUUUCUAUAAGGAUGACAUAGAUGAUUAUACUUUCCUUGUACCAGCAACAACACAGAAUGAUAAACACCAUGGGUCCUUACACAUGGAAUUGGACGACGCACAUGUCCAGUUCAGCAUAUAUGAAGUUAAAAGGUAUUUUGGUAAUAUUAAUUCUAUUUUUUCUACUGAUGUUGUUGACUCUAUAGUGCAUGAAUCUUUUGAUCAAAUACAAUUAUACAAGGAGGAUUUGAGGGCUAGAAUGGAGCAAAAUCAGGAUCUGAAGGAUGCUCCUAAUGAAGAAUUGAAGAUGUUACCAGCAGUCCACUUGAAGUUCACAAGUCCAAUUACAUAGAAUGAGAAGGAUGAUGUCAAGCCAAUGACAAUAAACAAGGGCAGCUGCUUGGGAGGCAACCCAAGAUCUCAGAUUUGAUUUUUCUAUCCCUUCACUUUUUAGUUUUUUUAUUGCAUGUUAGCUAGUAAUAUUUUCUUCUUUGCAUGAUUUUCUUACAUUGGGGACAAUGUAAGGUUUGAGUGUGGGGGGAAGAUUUAGGUUUUUAUUUUAUUUAGGAAUAUUGAUCCGAUUUUGAUGGGAAAUUUAAAAAAUUAAUGCUUUUGAAACUUUUUGAAAAUUUUGGUUCCAUGGUUCUAUUUGCCUAUGUGUUCGAAGGUUAAAGUCAAAGAUUGAAAAUUGAUGCUAAAAUUCAGAAUCUGUUUGAUGCUUAAUUUGUUAAUGAAUGAUGACAACUAAGCUAUGAUUCAUAGUAAAUGAAUUGAAUUGAAUUUGUGAUACAUGAGUACUUGAAUAUGAGAAGUAUGUUUAUUUGGCUAAGUUAUUUGUGGAGUCUAUGUACACUAAUUUCACGACUUAGAACUGUUUAACUUGCUUAUGUUGUUGCAGAACCAUGUGAAAUAAUGAUGAAUGAAAAAAAAAAGAAAAAAAAAGAGAAAAAAAAAAGAAAAUUGAAAAUCUGCUUCAAUGUCCAUUGUGCGAAAUAACUGGGUAUCCAAGCCUCGGGAAGCAUCGGUAUUCACACUGAAAAGUGCGAUGGAUAAAAGCAGCUUGACUAGUCGACUUUUGUGGCCUUUGUUACUUGAAUAAGUAAGCCUUAGGGGUGUCUCUACACCUAGCGCCCUACGAUCAUCUGGUUUGGGAGUCGUUGGUGGAAAGUUCGCUAAUGGGUAACUCUGAAAAGCCUAAGAAAAGGAGACAUUGCACAUGUCAAGAAAAGAAAAAAAUAUAUAUGAAAAAAAAGAAGCAUGAAAAUACAUUCAUUUGUGCUAAAAAGAAGGUUCUAUGAAAAAACUUAAAAAGCAACUAAGUUAAUUAAGUAUGAUGAUUUUGGCAAAGUUACUUAUGUGGUUAUAGUUUGAUUUAAUGAAAUUCAUUGGUGAAAUGGCAAGGUUGGUAAUUGUGAGUUGAUUGAUAAGGCGUUGAUUAGAUUUUUGCAAAUUUAGUGUUGAUAAUCAUGAUUUGUACCUUGAAAUCUUUUGACAUGAUGGUUGAAUAGAAUUUUUCUGAAAAUCAAACUUUUGAUUUACACGAAGACGUGUAAAGGCUAAGUGUGGGGGAAUUUGAUGAGUGCAUAAUACUCAUUUAUUUUGAUUCCAUUAUAUUUAGUUUUAUUGCAUGUUUCAUGUGUAUAUAAGUUUAUUAAGGUGUUUAAUGAUUUCAGGAUGAAUUGGAGCUGAAAUGAGAAAAAAGAGAAAAUUGCAGGGUUUUUAGCAUUAAGUUGGAUGCAUGGUCUAGGCUUGGGACUUGAAUUUUAUUGUAGAGCUCUUCUUUAGCUUUCCGGAACAUUUUGAACCGUCCCAAUCGGAGUUCAUAUGAAAAAGUUAUGAUCUUUUUACUAAACGGACGUUGAACCUCAAUGUUUGGAAUGUGCAAUUUACACUGCAGUCACUUGGAGUCUGAUUUCGACCUUGAUACAACCAGAAUCUGUCAAUUCUCAAAGCAUGAAAGUUGUAGAUCUCGUCGAUAUCUUCGUUUUGAUAGGUAGCAGGCCCCGUAACUCCUCCAGGAUCAAAAGUUAUGAUUAUUUUACCAAAGGAUAUCGCAGCAGGAAAUGGAAAUUCGCCCUAGCGAAUUUGAGCGGGAAAAUUGGGAAAUCUUGGAUGUUUGGAAAGUUUCUAAAUGCAGAUUUUGACAGACUUCUACAUGGAAUUGGAUUGAUAUUUCUAUUAGAAUUAGGAUAUCUUUAGACUAAGAUUUAUUUCCAAAUUAGAUUCUAUUUCUUUAUGGAAACUAGUUAUGAUUUGUAAUUCCUUU